rnacentral:rRNA from 1 species
UACGUAGGGUGCGAGCGUUGUCCGGAAUUAUUGGGCGUAAAGAGCUCGUAGGCGGUUUGUUGCGUCGGCCGUGAAAACCUGCAGCUUAACUGUGGGCCUGCGGCCGAUACGGGCAGACUUGAGUUCGGUAGGGGAGACUGGAAUUCCUGGUGUAGCGGUGAAAUGCGCAGAUAUCAGGAGGAACACCGAUGGCGAAGGCAGAUCUCUGGGCCGUAACUGACGCUGAGGAGCGAAAGCGUGGGGAGCGAACAGG